UACGUAGGUGGCAAGCGUUGUCCGGAUUUACUGGGCGUAAAGAGCGCGCAGGCGGUCGUUCAAGUCGCGUGUGAAAGCCCCCGGCUCAACUGGGGAGGGUCACGCGAUACUGAUCGACUCGAAGGCAGGAGAGGGUAGUGGAAUUCCCGGUGUAGUGGUGAAAUGCGUAGAUAUUGGGAGGGACACCAGUGGCGAAGGCGGCUCACUGGACCGGUACUGACGCUGAUGCGCGAAAGCGUGGGGAGCAAACAGG
rnacentral:rRNA from 1 species